AGCAAAUAAAUUGGGAUUGGUAUGAUGACACACAAUUCAGAGAAGAAACAAACAAGGAAGUUUAAGUUACUAGUAAUGUUUUUCAGUAGCCAUCAAGACCUGCGUGAUCAAAUGGAAGUACGUGAAAGUCAGGUUAUAGAAUGCAAUAAAGGUAUUUAAUGAAAAUGGCCUACUAGAUAAGGAAGUUCAGCGAUGCACGGCCAGACCAGGAUCUCUGUGGGAUGCUGCCUAAGCACCUUGACAUCCAUGGGUGUGUUCACCACACAGAACUAGCAGACUAAGAAUAUAUGUUCUUAAAGAUAAGAGAAACCAUAAAUUGAUGGUAAACAGAAUGUCACUGUGGUAGCAUUAUUUGUGUCAAUCACAUCUUCAUGGAAGCCCAGCAGGAAGAUUCAGGAGG